CUGCUAUGUCACGAGAACUCAAGCCACCCUGUGGAGAAUUCCACACGGAGUGCAGCUGAGGCCUCCCAACAACAACCAGCAGCAAUUUGCAAACCAUGUGAGUGAACUCCUGAUGCAGAACUGCCUAGCUCCCAAAGUCUGGACCCAGGCACUGUCUUGGGUGCCAAGGACACAAAGAUACAUCAGCCAUUGUCUGUCCUCCUGGAGUUCAUACUUAUUAGCCUGGACCUUCAGCUUCUCUCUGCUCCAGGCAGUGAGUGAUUCGGACUCAGUUUUAUCUACUGCCUGAGCUCGUCCUGGCCAAGUAGAAACAGAAGCCGGGCAGCAGGUCCAAAGACAAAACCAUGCCUUAGGGACUGUCUGGUGAGGACACUACUGACAUGCAACUCCAAGUGGAUCAUUGCUACAGGAGUCACCUGAACUGCUGGCCCUGCUGCUCCUGGAAGCUAGAUGUGACUUCUGUUGUCUCCGCUACUGCCAGAGUGAUUUCUCAUUUUUGUGUGACUCACUCCAGCUUCCUAGUCCUAGCUGAGAUCUCUAGUCGGCUGAUCUCAAGUCACAUGUCCAUGUCCUGGCUGCCAAGAAGGCGGGAGAAAAGAAAAUCUGACCUUUGGUGUGGGGAGGUGGACUCUGUCCCCCCAGCAAGACUCACAUGGCUCACCUUGGUCAUAAUGAGUGGAUCUGGCUUUACCCAGGGCUUCAGCCUUUAGCAUUUCACAUGAGGAAUAUCCACUGAGCUGGGGGUCAAGAGGCCUGACCUUUAAUCUUGGCUCUGCCCCAGGCAAGUGUGAACUUGGGUAAGAACACUGAGGCCAGGAAAUGUUGAGUGACGUGUCCAUACUCACAUAGCAUGGAAGAAUCAGAGGCCAUGGGGUCAGGACCUAUGGGCUUAGGAUAUACCGGAAGAGGCCUGAUUUCCAGUCGAGCAUUUGCCAAAAAUCAGCAGCGUGA
rnacentral:lncRNA from 1 species